GUUGAUACGCAGACAGCGUCACACACUAACUUGUGUUGGAACUUGGACAAAAAAACUAAAGAACUUCACUUACUGAACACGUACAGAGACGAUAAAAACCGGGGAGAGACUCAAGAAAACAGAAAGAACUGCAAUGUCUGUCCACAGAAAGCAGAUGCUGCAGCCUCCACCUCAGUGACCCGCCUGCCGGCCCGCCUGCCUUUACACCGGGUAUCUCUGUAUGUGUCAUGAUCCAGGGUUAGCCCCCUUGGGGGGGGGAUGAGCUCCCCCGAGGCCAGACCCUGACCGGUCCCUCAGGGGCCGAGCCCGGCACCGAGCCAGUCUGCCACACCAGCGACCGGCUGGGAGGGGGGACAAAGGGGGUGGAGGUGGUGGUGGUGGGGGGGUAACAGAUGCCUGCUGAAGCCACAGGGGACCUCCCUGAAAGCAUCCUCCUCUUCCUCCUCCUCCUCCUGCUCCUCCUCCUCCUCCUCCUCCUCCAUCCUGCUCUCCUGCAACUGGUGGCGUCCAGCUUCACCCUCAGUGAUACAUAUCACCACUGUCUGUCUGUCAUGUGACCUCUGUGGUCGGGGGUCGGGGGUGGCACUCACUUUCACCUCUGAGCUGUGCAGACUCUCGGUCUGGUUACGUCUGCUGCUAAAUAAACCAGGAGCAGACCAUGUGUGGGGAAUCUUCUUGUUGGUUUUAUAUCUAUUAAAUUGGAGUGAAAUUAAACUCUUCAUUGUUUUAUGGGGGAACCCCGAAGGAAUCCCCCAAGAAGUCCUGGUUGAAACCCACAAAGAGCCUUAAUAUCAGUCUCAAUUUCACUUUAUACUGAACAUCUACAACCAGAGACUGAAGUGGAAAAGUGCUUCUCUUAUUCACAUGUGCUAUUUAUUCCUUAUUUCUUUAAGCAUGUUAUCCUGCGUCAGACAUAAUUAGUUGUGAUUUUAUUGCUUUAUUAUCAUACUUGGGCGAUGCAUCUUCUAUGGUAGGACUAUAAUACUCCAUUUAUGGAGUUACAUUAUAGGGUUAAUGUGGUGUGUUUAAGGUCUUUCCUGUAGUAUAGUCGGGUAUCAUUCAGGUCAGGAUGCUCCUACAUAUCAUACAGAGACACGUCCUGAAUUUAUAAAGUGAAUAAAACAUAGGAGAUAUUGGGUUUGGGGCUCCUACAUCAUUUUGGACCGUUAUUAUUAUUACUAGUCAAAGGAUUAUUUUAUUAUUUUUCACAGCUUUCGUCUGAACGUUUAAUUCUUCUCUAAAUGUUUUCCCUAAAAGAGCAGGUUAAGACAACUUUUAAAUAAUAAUAACUUUUAAAUAAUGUUUCAUUAAUUAUAUUUUUUCACAAAUAAAAAAAAAGGUUACGACAAAGAGUUCACUAAUUAUUUUACAAAUAGGAUGUGAACAUUGUGUUGAUAAAUGACAGCACCUUUACUCAACUCUC